GAGGAGUCCCUGCACUCACCCUCUGACACUGAGCGACCAGUUUAUCUGUGACACAGACCUGCUGGGUGAAUAGCAGCCCUUCUUCCCGGUGGAGGAGACCCUGUUGGGUAAUCGCCGUAUGCAAAGCACCUUGCAGGGUGGUGUGGGGGGAUACCUUACUGCCAAGCGAGCACCCCACCACUGGCAGCCCCUGCUGGUGAGAAAGCAGGCCGCCUACACCCACAAAGCCUCCCAUUAUGGCCUGGAACCAGACAGCUACAAAGGAACCAUUCUGCUCUGGCUUGGCUCCCGGGGCGCAGACCUUGAGCAAGAGAAGGGGCUUUGUACUGUCAGCAGGGGGAACUUCCUGCAGGACAGCAGGGCCUGCAGCACAGCCAGCCCUUUCACAACAGCCGGGAGGAACGAUGACUCACUGAGACGCCCAGGACCACACCGGAGCAGGCAUGGGCCUGUGACCAGCGUGGACAAAGGCAGCCAGCCCUGUCAACGCGAUGACACCCCAGACUUGAUUUAUGGCCCUUGCCACCUUACGGCUGGGAGAGGCCCGCUGCAAUGCAUCGUGGGAAGAUGGCCAGCCGCUCCAGCCUCCCUGCACUUUCACCAAGACCUCCUUCUCUAAUGAGGAUCUCACUAAAUGACCACCACUGCCACCACCAUUCACACACCCUUCCUCAUACAGGAGCCCGAACAUUCCAUUUAGAAAGACCGUGUUGUAUCGAAAAUGAGGUCAGGUAUAAAAGAUGGGAGGUGAGAUGGCUUUUUUAAUUGGGGAGGCUUCAAUCAAAUUAUAGAGUCCCCCCUGCUUUUUUUCUGUAUCUCUAUGCAGGGAAAGACUAGAUGGUGUCACCUGUGUGGUUCUAACUCCAGGAUACGACAGUCCAAGAACUAAGAAAUUAGCACUGACUGCAAAUGUAGUGUUUUUUUUUCUUUAGAGAGAGAGAGAGAGAGAGAGAGAGAGAAUUUUUUUUUAAUGUUUAGUUAUCGGCGGACACAACAUCUUUGUCUGUAUGUGGUGCUGAGGAUCAAAUUCGGGCCACACACAUGCCAGGUGAGUGUGCUACCACUUGAGCCACAUCCCCAGCCCUGCAAAUGUAGUUUUGAAAUACUCAGGACACCUCUAGUUGCCUUAACCAUGGUCACAAAAUAGAUUUAAAUGCUCUUGAACGUUCUUAUGAGGUGGCACAGAAGGUGGCACACCGGUGUGACUGGGGAGGAGAGGCAAGGGGAAAGAGGCUCAUACAAAUAAGCUGUGUCUGCAGAGCAGGCGGGACUGGGGAGGGCCCAGGAACUCUUGGACGGGUAUCAAAGCUGCACUUCUCGAGCCCCGCACCAUCCCUGUCCCCAGGCUGGUCAUCGCCAGCCACAAGCCUCCUCACCUGUUUAUCUGGACAAGAGUUUUCCUACACUCCGCCCUUCACAAGACCUGUUAGUAAACGUUAUGUCGCCCCAGGUGGAGUUAGGUUAAAACAAAUCUUGACGGGGUUUAUUUAUUUCUAGGGCUUUUCAGAGCUCCAGUACACUAUCUGCCCUGGGUCCCUGAAGGACAUUAGUCCCACGAAGCUUUCUCUGGGUGGAUGGAACCAGGGAAGGGUUUUGUAUUGGACUCUUCUUUGCAGGAUGCUCUGUGAAUCUCUGAGUUCUUGGGAAAACAUGCCAGCAAGUGAGAGCGCAGAGGAGACGGUGCCCACCUCGACCUGGGGCUCAACCCCCCAGCCCACUUCCUGCCCCCUGAGCCCUGGUAUAAAAGGGAGUGCAUCAGGGAGAGUGCACGCCCGCUGCUCUACAGGAGGGAGGCUGGGUGGAGCAGAGGUUGCCCUGGGAGGCCUUGGAGUCAGACCUGCCAGCAUCAAAACCCAGCGGGGCUACUUUUCCAGCCGUGUGAACUUUGUCAUCCACUUUGGCUCUGUCACACUAAAAGACCUGUGUGUCCCAAGAAGGGUCUGAGGCGUUCCCGAGAGAAGGGGGAACUUGACUCAGCACCCGGGUUUUGGGCAUACACGAUGGGAAAGGGUUUCAGUGUGCACCAGGCAAAGUCAUAGUCAGCGGUUUAUUGAGGAAGCAGAUGCACAUUCCAGGGAGAAUGGUGGCCAUCUCCAGAGGGACAGCGGGAAGCCUUGCUGUGGGGUGUUAGGUCUGCAGAGGGACAUGGGAGGGGCUGGGCUGGGGGUGGAGCCAGGGGGCAGGUACAUCAUUGCCUGCCCUUGGGCCUUGCCCUCAUGCGACAAGGGCCUGGAUCCAAAGCUCAGGCCAAGGGCCAGGGCUCGGGAGUUUGACAGUUCCUGGGUGCUCUCUGCAUCGCUCUGGCUUAUGGCUCUUCCCUUGAUACUCAGCAUGUCCCCCUGUACUCCCCAGUUCCUCUCUCAGACUCCUUGGGCCACAGUCAGCUCCUCAGCAAACUGACUUAUUAAGAGAAAUGUGAGUGUCGAUACCCAGCGGUUGCUUUCAGUCAGCCCUGCAGAGAGGACUUCUCCUGUGAUGCUCACACAGCCAGUGUGUCUGGCUGAGGCUUCGUCCCCCACGCCCUUUCCAACAGUGGCUUGGCUCCCCCUGGGGAUCACCCGUGCUUAGUGGGAUGGCUGGGCAGAGACUUGCACCAACUAUGCAAGCUGAGGGACACCGUUCCUUCCUCCCACACCUGUACCCACUGGAACCCAGGGGCAG
rnacentral:lncRNA from 1 species